rnacentral:tRNA from 2 species
UGCGGGAUCGUCUAAUGGUAGGACUUUCGCCUCUGGAGCGAAGUAUCUUGGUUCGAAUCCAAGUCCCGCAG